rnacentral:rRNA from 1 species
UACGGGGGGAGCAAGCGUUGUUCGGAUUUACUGGGCGUAAAGGGCGCGUAGGCGGUCAGCACAAGUCAGUUGUGAAAUCUCCGGGCUUAACUCGGAAAGGUCAACUGAUACUGUGCGACUAGAGUCGCAGAAGGGGCAACUGGAAUUCUCGGUGUAGCGGUGAAAUGCGUAGAUAUCGAGAGGAACACCUGCGGCGAAGGCGG